UGACUGAAAAACAAUCUGAAAAUCAGACGGCCAUAAGGUGAUCAUCAAAGCUGACCACAUCCUCACUCAAUGAAUGGCAUCAUCAGCACGCUGCCAGGAAGCCUGGAUGAUAAACUGGAGGCACUUCAAAUGCCCGAUCCUCGAAGGGAACACAGAGAGAGGUGGUGAAGUCAGCAGCUCAUUACAAGACGUUGCUGCUUUUCCAGCUGGGAUUGUGCCCUCCAAAUCAGGUAUAUAAAGCCAAAACACAAUCUUUUCCUCAC